rnacentral:rRNA from 1 species
UACGAAGGGGGCUAGCGUUGUUCGGAAUUACUGGGCGUAAAGCGCACGUAGGCGGAUAUUUAAGUCAGGGAUGAAAUCCCAGAGCUCAACUCUGGAACUGCCUCUGAUACUGGGUAUCUUGAGUAUGGAAGAGGUGAGUGGAAUUGCGAGUGUAGAGGUGAAAUUCGUAGAUAUUCGCAGGAACACCAGUGGCGAAGGCGGCUCACUGGUCCAUAACUGACGCUGAGGUGCGAAAGCGUGGGGAGCAAACAGG